rnacentral:sRNA from 1 species
UUCAGGAGCUGCACAACUUCAGUGUCCAUCAGUCAGAGGCAAUGCCCCCGACCCAGACGCCUCUAGUUGAGAGAUAGACAGAGCUGGAUUUACAGGACAACAGACCUGACCUGGAACGAGACUUGCAAGUAUGUCAGGGAGCUGCACGCUAACCUAGGAAGAGGCUGGCCAGAUGGAGUCUUGCUCUGUUGCCCAGGCUAGAAUGCAGUGGUGUGAUCUUGGCUCACCACAAAUUCUGCCUCCUGGGUUCAAGUGAUUCUCCUGCCACACCCAGCUAAUUUUGUAUUUUUAGUAGAGAUGAGAUUUCACCAUGUUGGCCAGGCUGGUCUUGAACUCCUGACAUUGUGAUCCACCCACCUCAACCUCCAAAAGUGCUAGGAUUACAGGCAUGAGCCACCAUGCCUGGCCUACUUGGAGCAUUAUUUAAACCUUUAAA